rnacentral:rRNA from 1 species
GAUGAACGCUGGCGGCGUGCCUAAUACAUGCAAGUCGAGCGAACAGACGAGGAGCUUGCUCCUCUGACGUUAGCGGCGGACGGGUGAGUAACAUGUGGAUAACUUACCUAUAAGACUGGGAUAACUUCGGGACACCGGAGCUAAUACCGGAGAAUAUAGUGAACCGCAUGGUUCAAUAGUGAAAGACGGUUUUGCUGUUACUUAUAGACGGAUCCGCGCCGGAUUAGCUAGUUGGUAAGGUAACGGCUUACCAAGGAAACGAUGCGUAGCCGACCUGAGAGGGUGAUCAGCCACACUGGAACUGAGACACGGUCCAGACUCCUACGGGAGGCAGCAGUGGGGAAUCUUCCGCAAUGGGCGAAAGCCUGACGGAGCAACGCCGCGUGUGUGAUGAAGGUCUUCGGGUCGUAAGACUCUGUUAUUAGGGAAGAACAAAUGUGUAAGUAACUAUGCACGGCUUGACGGUACCUAAUCAGAAAGCCCCGGCUAACUACGUG